ACUAACGUGACGGUAACAGUCAGAUUACUGGUUGUAACUUCAUUAAGGGAUUCACUGUUUUCCCUCUCAAAACCGAGUAGAGUUUCUUCUUCAACAGUGGCUUUUUCAGAUGACACGUCUUCAGCAGCG